rnacentral:lncRNA from 1 species
UUUUUCAUUAUUUUUUCCUGUUAAAUUACGCUAUUUUCCUUUUAAAUUCCUAAAAAUUUGUAUUUUUAAUUUCCUAACUUUGUGGGCUGAUUUGAGACUUGAUUCGAGCUCCAUUUAUGCACAAAUUUUGAGCAUACAUUACUUUUUCUUCGAGGGACCUCGUGACAUAUUCAAUUUGGGAUUCUGUUAGCAGGCCCCAUGAGCCCUUAUGGACCCAAUUUUGGGUCCAGAGUUUUAUAUAGCAAUAUGGGUACUAUUUUAUUCCUAUUAAUACGUAGAUGAUUAUUUUUUUUAGUUCAGUGAUUUUUUAGGAUUGUGGAGAAAAGGGGAGCAAUUUUGGAUGUUCAAGACUUGCAGUUUGGCAUUAAGGUAGGACUCAGUCUACUUUUAUGUAUGAGAUUGUGCAUAGUAUAGAUUGUAUACUCGACAAGGAUUAUAGGAUGGGAUUAUGAUUAGUAUAUCAGGACUUAGCAUAUUUAGGGGACUUAGGAUAGAAAUAUGACCCGAACCUUAGUAUAAAAUACUUUCUAUGGCCUUAGAAUCCCAUUACCCUUGAUUAUAAGAAUGUUGAUCGUAUAAUUAUAAUAAGGACAAGGAUUAUAAGAUGGAAUUAUGAUUAGUAUAUCAGGCCUUAGCCUAUUUAGGGGACUUAGGAUAGAAAGGUGACCCGAACCUUAGUAUUUAAUACUUUCUAUGGCCAUAGAAUCCCAUUACCCUUGAUUAUAAGCAUGUUAACCAUUGAAUGAUAAUACGUGCUCUUUUUUUAUAUGAUUCACUAUUUGACUUAGUGACUUGGACCAUAGUUUUUUUGAUUAUAGUGCUAAUACUUCGUUAUAUAUGUAUAGAUAUAUAUAUAAUUGAUCCCGAUGCAAUAAUUACGAUACCAAUUGGACUCUAGGUGAGUAUUCUACCCUUAUAAAGGAUGUGAUUCUAAUUUAUGGAUGCUUAUAUGCUUAUCGUUGUAUUAUUUGGAAACUGGUGAUAGACUUCAUACUUUAAGGUGAAUUCAUGCUCACUUAGUGGCACAUUUCCAAUCAAAACUAUGAUUUUAAUAUUAUUUUCUAAAUAGGGAUUUAUUCCCACUUUGUAGUUUUAAAAUGAAUUCUUUUAUAACAAAAAUUAUACCACCUUAUUUAAUGAUUUGUGAGCUAUUGAAACUAAAUAUGAAGUUUUGAAAAUUUGAUCAAAACUGAUUCUAGUCCGUGGUUUAUCCACUCCUUUACAACUACUAUUUAAUUUGGUCGAGAGAAAUUCCAAACCUUUCUAUACUAUUAUGCUCAUUUAGUCCCGUAGUUGAUCUCAUGCAAUAGUUAUUCUGUUAUGACACCAUACAUCUGAUUUGAGUUUGACACUUUUGAUACUAUUUUUGAUUCUAGUUUGGUAUUUAUGAUACUAUUUCCAAUUCAAGCCCAACAUCUAUGAUACUAUUUUUGGUUCAAGUCCAUAACUGACUGAGUGAUUAUGAUAUUAAGUAAUUGGUUUGAGUUUUGUAUGUAUGGUGUGGGAGAAUUCAUGAACAUGGUUUACUGUUGGUUUAUGUUGCAUCCAUUCAUUUGGUCGCACUGCCUAUCACUAGUAAAAUAAUUUGGUGCUUAUAUCUAUCACAAUUAUGGAGGGUUUUAUAGAUAAUCUAAGAUUGUUGUUUGUUGAGUUUUUGAUUGGACCAUUUAGGAUUAUGAGGGUUUAAUUAGGUUAUUGUUUUUUCAUUCUAGUCGGUUACUUUAUUGAUGGUUAUUAUGGUUAGUUUAUGGUAGAUAAUUAUGGAUUAGUACUUGAGAUUUUUGGUACGUUUUUUAAUUCCUUUCUUCUCUUAUAGUAAGAUACAUUAUUGUUAGAUUAUCUCAUGUUUAGUCAUCCUUGGGCUUGAGACCCUGAUAAUGCUAUUAUUGGCUUUCCUUCUUGGUUGUGAUCUUUUAGAGGUUAGAUUGGUUUCCUCAGGAUAUUAUCUCUUAGUUAGUCUUAAAUAGGUAUAUAUAAAUAUAUAAUAUUACCAUAUCUCUCUAUUUCCUUAUUUAUUCAUUUCAUAUAUGUAUCCUUUGGCCUUCUAUUACUAUAAUAUAUCCUUCCUUUACUCUUUAUUUUUAUAUUUACUAGUGAUAUACAGUAUUGCACUUUAGUUCCUGAAUACUAUUAUCAUAGGAUAAGCUUAUCCUCAUUGCUCCUUUAGCAUUAUUAUGUUUAGUUUCUUAGAUAGUUUUCUAUAGAUUAUAUUCCUACUAUAUAUGUUAUUUAUGUUUUCAUUAUAUUUGGAGCUAAGUCGGCCGAUGCCUACUCAAUCCACAUAUUUAGUACUCAUAAUACACUUUUACAACUUAGAGAUCAUAGUACGAGUACAUCGUACAUAGUAACUAUAUACUGGAGAUUAGGGUGAGCUCCUGGUAUUCAGAGUAUUCCUUCUCUCCCUCAUAUUGGUUAGAGUGAUCUCUAUUUUGAAUUCAGAGACAUCUUUUUAUAUGUAUUUAAUUUGUAUUUGUACUUUGUUCUCUAAUUGAAUUAGAAGCUCUUGUACCAGCAUCACCAGGUCUUGGGUUUGUAUACUCUAUUAUUCUUUUAUUUUAAUUCUUUUCUGCUAUUUUUUCCAAUUCUAUUGAUAGUCCAUUACUAGCAAUUCCAGACUUUAAGAUGGCUCCUACUGUUGGGUUAUAGGUUCCAUCGUGACUCAAGAAAUUAGGUUGUAACAAAUUGGUAUCAAAGCCUAGAUUUACUAAUGUGGUGGUAUAUGAGUUUAGUUUCUAGUAGUGUCCUUUGGACUAGUACAGAGACAUCAGUAUCCUCUCUUCGAGAGGCUAUAAGUAAUUCUUAGGAAAUUCUAUUCUUGAUUCCCUAUCAUUUGUCCAUAUUUCUAUAAAACUUUAGUACUUUCUUUGACUCCAUUCUUUCUUAGAUGACUGGCAUAAGUUUAUCAAUAGAUGCAGACAAGACUAUCACACCUGUUUUUAGAGAUUUAAUGCAACAUCGAGAUAGGGAGUCAGAGAUUAAUAUCAAAGAUCUUGAGUGUCAUUUGAUCUUGGGUGUAUUUUAUACGCCUAAGCACCAUAAUUUAUCCAUAUUUUAGCUAAGUUUAGAGAACAAAGUUCCUAGUUUCUUAUGUUUUUACUCUACUUCUAUGUAAUUGAGCUAACCGAUGUGAUUAGCAUGAUUUUAGGUAUUAAUGAGGUAGAUGAAGACAUAAUGGGACUAUGGAAUGUGGAUGAAAUAUGACACAAGAGAGAGUAGCAAUUUGGACCAAAUGUGGCACCUAGAAACUAUGUCCAAGACUAAUUUGUCAUUUAUAAUUAGUUCAGGGACUUAGAAGGAAAUUAUGAGAGAAGAGAUUAUUAAAAGACUUAAUUGCUGAAUUUUUAUUCAUUAUUCAUUAUUCUGUAUUAUUCUAGGAGAGAAGAAAGGAGGCUUAGCUUAAGGAGAGAGAGAAACAUUUUUCCUCUCUUGUUUUCAGUAUUCGUACACCAAGAUCAUCUUCUAGUUUUUAGUAUGAUGAAUAUAUUUAUGAUGCUUUUCGUUUUAUUCAUGAGUAGAAACACAAGGUUUACUAUGCACUUAAAACUUAAACCUAGAUUGUGUAGUUCAACCGUCAUAACAUGUACCCACGGGCUAUAUGGGCCCCAGUGCAUGUAGUCAGACAAAUUGAAGAAUAAUCUCAUAUAUAUGCACUGGGGAAUCGAACCUCCCAAUCAUAUAUCAAGGUGACUUAAGCAUCCAAUCAUGUGAUGAUUUAUGGGGGACAUGAACCUACCUAAUCAUGAAACAAUAAUGAGGGGUAUUCGAACCUCCCUGGUCACUUUGACCCCCUCAUUGGCAAACGCAGUUUUCAGUAUCAGUCACUCGGUUUUAUUUUCAUGACUCAGCUACACAACUCUUAUUAGAGCCUAAUUAAAUCAAGUAUCACACAUACCUAUUAACUGAACUAGAUUCCAUAUUUAGGAAUACAUUGUUGGUAUCAUCAUACCAACUACACUUUCAAGGUAAUAACAAUAUGCCAAAACAAUUUCCUUUAACUCGGGGAAAAUAACUCCCUUUGUUCACAAAGUGAGGGAACACCGACUACCUUUUGUUCAUUAAAUCAGGCCAUUGUAUUUCAAAUACCUCUUUAUAUCAUGCAAUAGUUCAUGACUAGUUCAAUUUUACAAAUUCCCAUAUUUCUCAUAAUUAAAGACCAAUUUCAUAUUAUGGGGUUGGGGUCAUAAGCACUUCAAAAGUCACAAGUUUGGGAAAAUCACAAUUCCCUUGUUUAUUCACCAUGUCCAUACAAUCAUGAGUUCAAAACCAUGAUUAAAGCAUGAAAAUCAUAUAUAAACCAUGCGAAACAUUCAAAAUCCUCAAUCUUUGUGUCGAAAUCAUCAUAAACAUCUCAUGAAAAAAACUUUAAAACAUAUGCUUUUAACAAAUUAACAACGAGGAAAGUGUAACAUGCCUUAAACACCAAGAAAUUUAAAAAAAAAUCAACCCUUGAACCUUUAGAUGACCAACUUGAUGAAACCCUAGCUUGACUAGAAUGAGGGAAUUUAGAGAGACUUUUGGAGUAUUUGAGAAGUUACUUAAAUUGUUUUUGAGAUCUAACAACACUCAAAAGAGGUUAUAAGUUAUGGGUUUCAAUUUGGUUAAUAGGGGCCAUGUCCAGAAUGUCCUCAACUUAAAAGUUGAAAUAUGUUUCCCUUGACUACGGGUUAACUCAUGACUCGUAGCCACUCUGUAUGAAUCAUCACUAAGAGUCGUAGCAAAGGCAGUGCCACCAAGGCACCCUACACUAUUGACCUUGCGACUUAGCCAUAAGAAUCAUAAUGGGACCCUACGGCUCAUAGGUUUCAAUCGUAGUCAGCAUAAAAACUAAAAUGGGGUAUACACUGGACACCCUACGAUUACACCUAAUGACUCGUAACAUAUCCUUAUAGCUCUUUAUGAGACCCCCAUACUAGGAGCAGAAUCUAUCCACAAACUUACUGGUUUGGUUAUGAUUCAUCCCAGCGACUCGUCAGAACACCCUAUGACUCAUAAGAUCCAGU